rnacentral:rRNA from 1 species
GUGGGGAAUAUUGCACAAUGGGCGCAAGCCUGAUGCAGCGACGCCGCGUGGGGGAUGACGGCCUUCGGGUUGUAAACCUCUUUCACCAUCGACGAAGGCCCGCUUUUGGUGGGUUGACGGUAGGUGGAGAAGAAGCACCGGCCAACUACGUGCCAGCAGCCGCGGUAAUACGUAGGGUGCGAGCGUUGUCCGGAAUUACUGGGCGUAAAGAGCUCGUAGGUGGUUUGUCGCGUUGUUCGUGAAAUUCCCUGGCUUAACUGGGGGCGUGCGGGCGAUACGGGCAGACUGGAGUACUGCAGGGGAGACUGGAAUUCCUGGUGUAGCGGUGGAAUGCGCAGAUAUCAGGAGGAACACCGGUGGCGAAGGCGGGUCUCUGGGCAGUAACUGACGCUGAGGAGCGAAAGCGUGGGGAGCGAACAGGAUUAGAUACCCUAGUAGUCC